rnacentral:rRNA from 1 species
UAAAGACAUAUAAAUAUGCCGGUCAAUACAAACUAUAGUUUAAAAUCCAAAGAAUUUGGCGGUAUCUUAAAUAAUCAGGGGAACCUGUACCUUAAUUUGAUACUCCACACACAUCUAACCUCUCCUUGAACUUCAGCCUGUGUACUGCUGUCGUCAGUAAACCCCUAAAGGUAUAGUUUACAACAAUAAUAUCUAUACACGUCAAGUCAAAGUGCAGCUUAUGGAGAGGGGGAAUAUGGGUUACAACUUCCAAAUAAAUACAAAUUAUUAAAAUAAAAGUAAUAUGAAGGUGGACUUGAAAGUAAUACUUAUAAAUAAUUAGUAUAAAUAAGAACCUAAGAUAUGCACACAUCGCCCGUCGCUCUCGUUCAAUUUG